CCCGGCCCCUCCGUGGGGCGGGGGAGGUGGUCCGGUGAGGCUGAGAGUGAUCCGGAGCUGAUGGAGACCCCUCGGCUCGCCGGGACCCCGGUGAGACCCCUCCCACUCCCCAGUGUGGAUCCGUCCCUGUGAUUCCACUCCCAUCCAGACUCCCCCCAUCCGUAUCCAUCCCUGUGAUUCCACUCCCAUCCAGACCCCCCCCAUCCGUAUCCAUCCCUGUGAUUCCAGCAGGAUCUCCCAUCUGGAUCCAUCCCUGUGAUUCCAGCAGGAUCUCCCAUCUGGAUUUAUCCAUCCCUGUGAUUCCAGCAGAUCUCCCAUCUGGAUUUAUCCAUCCCUGUGAUUCCAGCAGGAUUCAUCUGGAUCCAUCCCUGUGAUUCCAGCAGAUCUCCCAUUCGGAUACAUCCCUGUGAUUCCAGCAGGAUUUAUCCGGAUCCAUCCCUGUGAUUCCAGCAGGAAUCAUCCGGAUCCAUCCUUGUGAUUCCAGCAGGAUUCAUCUGGAUCCAUCCCUGUGAUUCCAGCAGGAUUCAUCCAGAUCCAUCCGUGAGAUUCCAGCAGGAUUUCCCAUCUGGAUCCAUCCCUGUAAUUCCAGCAGAUCUCCCAUCGGGAUCCAUCCCUGUGAUUCCAGCAGGAU
rnacentral:lncRNA from 1 species